rnacentral:rRNA from 1 species
CAGUCGGCUCAAGAACGAACGCUGGCGGCAUGCCUAACACAUGCAAGUCGAACGAGACCUUCGGGUCUAGUGGCGCACGGGUGCGUAACGCGUGGAACCUGCCUUUAGGUUCGGAAUAACUCAGAGAAAUUUGAGCUAAUACCGGAUAAUGUCUUCGGACCAAAGAUUUAUCGCCUUUAGAUGGGCCCGCGUAAGAUUAGCUAGUUGGUGGGGUAAAGGCCUACCAAGGCGACGAUCUUUAGCUGGUCUGAGAGGAUGAUCAGCCACACUGGGACUGAGACACGGCCCAGACUCCUACGGGAGGCAGCAGUGGGAAUAUUGGACAAUGGGCGAAAGCCUGAUCCAGCAAUGCCGCGUGAGUGGUGAAGGCCUUAGGGUUGUAAAGCUCUUUUACCCGAGAUGAUAAUGACAGUAUCGGGAGAAUAAGCUCCGGCUAACUCCGUG